rnacentral:rRNA from 1 species
GAUGAACGCUGGCGGCGUGCCUAAUACAUGCAAGUCGAGCGAACGGACGAGAAGCUUGCUUCUCUGAUGUUAGCGGCGGACGGGUGAGUAACACGUGGAUAACCUACCUAUAAGACUGGGAUAACUUCGGGAAACCGGAGCUAAUACCGGAUAAUAUUUUGAACCGCAUGGUUCAAAAGUGAAAGACGGUCUUGCUGUCACUUAUAGAUGGAUCCGCGCUGCAUUAGCUAGUUGGUAAGGUAACGGCUUACCAAGGCAACGAUGCAUAGCCGACCUGAGAGGGUGAUCGGCCACACUGGAACUGAGACACGGUCCAGACUUCUACGGGAGGCAGCAGUAGGGAAUCUUCCGCAAUGGGCGAAAGCCUGACGGAGCAACGCCGCGUGAGUGAUGAAGGUCUUCGGAUCGUAAAACUCUGUUAUUAGGGAAGAACAUAUGUGUAAGUAACUGUGCACAUCUUGACGGUACCUAAUCAGAAAGCCACGGCUAACUACGUG